GAUUAAAUGCAUCUGACAAUGAACAGAAAAAUAGAGAUAAGCUGUUGUGAACAAAAUGAUACUUUACCCCAGAUUCCCAGUCAAUUAGUGCCAAACAAAAAAUAUUCACAUACGCUCAUCUUAAAAACCAAAGCACUACGAUAAAGAAACCUUAAUAACUGAACUUAGAUAUUGUAGAACUACCACUAAACCAUUUUUGAGUCACUGAAUUAGGUGAAGAAGGUGGC
rnacentral:misc_RNA from 1 species